GGGGGCGUCCGGUCUCGACGGGGUAGUUGGGCUUCGGGAUUGCGAGCCGAGAGCCGCGAGCGUUACAGCGCAGCGUUUCACAAACGCCAACAGAACGAACGGUCUCGCCCUCGCUGCGUAAGCAGUAGAGACGUGAUCCCCGGGACUUAGAUCCCGGGCGUUGCCCCCGGUCAAUCCGGCGGACCGGGGAGCGGCGUCACAAAAGACCGGAUUGCCGCCUCGAGGGCGCUGCGGCCUCGAGGCGGGACACCCACCGCAGCUGGCAGAAGCGGAUCCCGUCGGGAGGAGCCGCCAAGCGAGAACCAAAUUCCCGGACACGCUCGUAGAGAUCCCGGGGGACACUGCUUCGGACGCGGGUUCAACUCCCGCCGCCUCCACCA
rfam:Actinobacteria bacterium 13_1_20CM_2_65_11 13_1_20cm_2_scaffold_111, whole genome shotgun sequence.